CCUCCUCGUUCCUUCUCCAACUCCCCCGCCCUGCAGGCCGCCGGCCGCCCUCGCCCAGCCCGCCUCGACGCUCAGCUAUCAUGCCCUGCCCCGCUACGUCAUCCGACUGCCAUGCCCCGCACCGCCCCGACAUCAACGCCGAUCGCCUCGUUUGCCGCAUCUGGUCUCUCACCAUAGAAAUCUGAACACAAGCUUCCUAGCUGAGCUUUUCUCCAUGUACCGCUAAUGGCAAGAAGAGAAUGCCAAGAGAGUUAUCCGAGAGCAGAACCGACACAGAAGUGGAGCAACUGCGUGAAGAACUUAGGCGUCAUCAGGAUUACUUAGGCGACAAGCUGCGCAACAUGAAUACUAUGCUACACAGAUUCAACAACAGCAAACACUCAUACAACAACUAGCACAAGCCUAAGGGAUACACGUCCCGGUGCCCCACCACCACCUCCCGUACAUUAUCCUUGGUCCUCACCUCCACCUACACCUCCAUCUCCACCUACCGAACAUCAGUUAUGCAAAUUCAUCAUCAGUUACUUGUUGUUAGUUAUAUUAUGGUGUAACUCAGCAAAUAUCAUUUGUACAUGUAUGUUAGACCCCUCCAGCUACCUUGCCGACACAGGAACGAGAUGACGGGUUAGACUUUGUCGAAGCCCUCUUUGCUAGUGGAGGUAUCGACCAUCACUCGUCACUGUACUCGAUGGUAAUCGGCGAUCGUGAGCUUCCAUUUUAUGUGUUGUGAUACUUGAGACAUUUAUUAUGACUAUGUAUGAGAUAUUAUCUCUUAUUAUGACUGGAUGAGAUGUGUCUUAUGACUAUGGAUGUUGUGAUGUAAUUGAUGAGACUAUGGAUUUAAAUGUUGUUAUGUGAUUGU